GUCACGUCACUCUCAAAUGAAAAGUGUUUAAGUGAAGUCAAAGUGAAGCUGAAAAAAAUCGAAAAACCAGUUAAAAUUAGUACAAAGAAAUUUUCUGUCUUGCAAUCUGCAAGCAGUAGCUUUAACCGAAAAUGGAAAAGUGUAAAAAUCGUGUCCCAGGAGGCGAGCAGCAGUACGAGUAUUGCAAAAUGCAGGGGCAAGGGCCCACGUAGUAUUUUUCCACGUCGGGCAUUAAAUGCUCUCGAGUUGGAAACAAAGAAACCGAAUGCAAACCCACUGGAAAAGAUGUGAUUAGUCAUCGAUUUUGCUGGUCAGCGUCGGGGAAUUUCGCAAAACAGCAGGCAGUUUUCUCGAGUUUGGCUAGAAAGUGAACCACUAGGCAGUCUGAGGCAGUUAUCCAGGAUGUCAGGAUGUGUGCAGUACUCUCUGUAUCGAAUGGCGAUGGCCCUGACCUGCGGAUUUUGAAAGAUUGAAAUAGGAAGCCAGUUGGGCGUUGAAAGUUGAUAUCGAUAUCGAUCCGUGAAAAAUCGAUACCCUGCGCAAGCAUGGGGCGGCAUAUGGGUGCUGAAAACGCACUCGGCCCGAUCCCGAUUGCAGCGUUAUUCGAAAGCUGUGUCUGCGACCAUGACUGAGAUCAUAUGCGUACAUAUAUCUAAUGUCCGGGGUCGUGGGCCAGCCAGGGUGCUCGAUUCUGUCAGAUUGAUUGUGCGGAUUGUGUUAUAGGAACACUGGUGUAUCGACUUCUCUGCUCCACUAUGGGUGAAGGAUACCCUACCGAAAAGGCCUUCUGUCGCUUACUAUCAUCGAACAAGUUCCGUAAAGGGCAGACAUACGUACACGUGGCAGCAUAUUACGUUCAAUGACACAUCGUCUCUGGAUUAGUAGUUGAACCAACGAGCUCGAAUAUACCCUGCCAGUUGGUUGUAAAUAUUAAUUUUGUUCUUAUAUUCAGUUGUAAAGUCAAUACGGAAGACAUUUCCACACCAACCAUGUGUCACUUAUGUUCUUAAAUACCAGAAACUGUUUAAAUUUUUGUUCUUAUACACUUCACCAAUUAAGAAUUACCUGUACUGAUGUAAGUGUACUUGUUGAAUCACAACAAAAAUAGAAAAAAUGAAUAACAAAAGAGCUCUAUAAUAGAAAAGCCACAGAAAAGUGAAUAAAAAAUUCAAAAAUUCAAAAAAUAAAUUUCGAAACAUCUGCUCGUGAUAUUUUUAUUUCAAGAAAAGAUCCGAUUUCAGUUAUACCAUCUAGCUUAAAUUUAGCGUUACGAGAAUAGUCCCUCGGAGGAAGGGCCUUUUAUCAAGAUGCCAAUAGCGUUCGUCCUAUACACAAAUUACUCAGACGUUAUGAAACCCAGUCGAAAAAUCGGAAAGUGUCUACCAUUGAGGAAAGGUCUCUUGAUCUCCUUUGAGCGCUAAAAGUUUGUAUUGGAACGAGAAUAUUAAGGUUUAAAAUCAGCUGAAAAGUACGUAUAUUCCGCAUUUAUUUUUCUCCACAUUUUUAGGAUCAGAACAUCAGAACUAUAUUUUUUGGAAAAAUCAACGGAAAUUAUUUUGUUUGGAGGUCCCAAAUUCUAUACACCUUCACGCUUAUUCUUGCACACGAAAAAAACAAUAAAUUAUUUUUAUUGAAUGACAAAAAAACACAUUUAUAACUUGAAAAUUAUUCUAAGUACUUCAAUUUAAUUACCGAACCAACAUAUAUACACAUGCGACUCGUGUUGGACGAGAUUACAUUAAGAGAACUGUGAAAAAUAA